rnacentral:rRNA from 1 species
GUGGGGAAUCUUGCGCAAUGGGCGAAAGCCUGACGCAGCCAUGUCGCGUGAAUGAUGAAGGUCUUAGGAUUGUAAAAUUCUUUCACCGGGGACGAUAAUGACGGUACCCGGAGAAGAAGCUCCGGCUAACUUCGUGCCAGCAGCCGCGGUAAUACGAAGGGUGCAAGCGUUAUCCGGAUUCAUUGGGUUUAAAGGGUGCGUAGGCGGAGCGUUAAGUCAGUGGUGAAAUCCUGCAGCUUAACUGUAGACUUGCCAUUGAUACUGGCGCUCUUGAGUGCGCUUGAAGUGGGCGGAAUGUGCCGUGUAGCGGUGAAAUGCUUAGAUAUGGCACAGAACACCAAUUGCGAAGGCAGCUCACUAAGGCGAUACUGACGCUGAGGCACGAAAGCGUGGGGAUCGAACAGGAUUAGAUACCCUGGUAGUCC